rnacentral:lncRNA from 1 species
AUUAGCUAAGCUUGUUUGAAUCACCUUAAGCCCGAGACUGUACCCCGGACACAUUCUUCUUCCAGCCCCAAAUGGCAGCAGCUCAAAAUCAUGGCCUUUCACAUCAAUUGAUUUUCCAAUAAAUCUCUCAGGAUAAAAUUCAUUGGGGUUUUCCCACAAACCUGGGUCUCUCCCUAUCGCCCAUACACUAACAAGGACUCGAGUGCCUUUUUGGAUGUCGUAGCCGGCUACUUUGGAAUCUUUUCUAGCCGCUCGGGGCACCAGGAAAGCACCCACUGGGUGCAGACGCAUUGUUUCUUUAACUACGGCAUCAAUAAAUGGGAGAUUAACGAUGUCUUUCUCUUCAACCCACCUUUCUUUUCCAAUUACUCUGUCUAGUUCCUCUGUUGCUUUGUUAAAAAUUUCAGGCUUUUUCAUUAGUUCAGAGAUGGCCCAUUCCACCGUUACUGCUGAGCUCUCAGUCCCACCAGCUAUUAAAUCCUGGAUUACACAAGAGAUAAAAGAUUAGAAAUCGUGUGCUUGAACAUAUACUUUCAAGAAUUUUCACACUAAACUUUCGGCACUCACUUGCUAAAUGACUUUGAAAUCAAUCGAUUAUUGAACUAUAUUUUACUUAUGUGGAAACUACGAAACUAUGCAUGCAUUAUAAAAUAAAGUCGUAUGUAUUAGCGAUCAAAUUUCUUUGACGGCCGGUGAACUGAUGAACCGGUAAAACCGACAAGAAAAAUAAAAUUACAUGCAAAAGCAAAAUGAGCCGACGGAGCACACUGGUCUGUUGACAGGUGUAUAACCAUUAGAUAUCAAUUAUAUCUUACUUUGCCAUAAAUACUAAUAUAUAACCAUUAGAUAUCAUAUUGUCGUCACAAUUAAAUUACCAUCACAAUUAUUGUAAGUUCUCUCCACUAUUUUUUUGUUGAUAAACUGGGGCUCAAUUAAGAGCUAGAAAACAAAACACCGGGGGGUAGCAACCCCGUAAGUGUCACACAGAAGAAGGGAACUAGCCCCAAUAACAGAACUAGGGUACAAAGUAAGGCCAAUAGGCAAAGAAAAAGUAAGAUUCGCCAUGUAAUCCAAUUAAAUUACCACCACAACUAUUGUAUGUUCUCUCCACUAUUAAUUUAAUGUGAAUAUAAUAAAUAUUAUUUUUAUUUUAUUUGAAUUAUGCAUAAAUAUAAAUUUUUAUCAUAUUCAUAAAAUAGAUUAUGAAGCUCAUUAGAUUUAAUCUAAUUAAGUUUUUUGAGAAAAAAAGGCAUGUCUAAACAAUUUAUUAAACAUACUCUAAAAAUAAAAAGGCAAUUUAAAUUUAUAUAUAUUUUGAUCAUUAUAUAAUAAAACGACACUUUUGUAAUAAAAUUUACUAGAUACAUGUAUUAUACUUUUCAAAUUUAUAACAACUGUAACAAUACAGUUCACCAAACACUUUAAGUUACUUUUUAAUCAGCGACUUAUUUAUUCCACACAGUAAAAAUAAUUUAUUUAAUCAGCCACCGCAAUUCCAAAUUAAUCCUAAGUUCUUUUUGGCAGCCAGUAAUUUGUUGCUACACGACAAUUUGCUACCAAUAAAUUGAGAUGUCGAUGUUUACCCAAAAUUACGAAAGCCAGUGACUCUUUUCUCUCCAUAUAUACAAAUUAUCCAUGUCAUAAGUGUUUGGAUUUAUAUAGAAGUUGCCGAGAAAUUGGGGGUAAGUGUUGAAUUUGAUGUGAACCACAAAUUUACUUCAUCAGCCAAAACAUAUUUUAUUUUGAUACCUCUUCCUUUGAAGAAUAAUAAUAAUUAAAGAGAAAAAUGAGUUCACUUGACUUUAGCUAGCUAUGUGCACGUAUAGGCGAAAUCACUUGCAACAGAAAUAUGAAUAAUAAUAAUAAUCAUAACAACGACAACAAUAGGGGUGGUAAAAAUAUCCGCAUGGUCUAGACCCAAACUGCACCCAGACGAUGUGGACCGGGUAUUACCCGGCUCGAAUAUGAAGUCAAGCUGGUCCUGAGCAUCACUUGAUAAACCCAGGACCUAAUCCGGAACUCGAAUUUUAUUAAAAAAAUAUUAUAAAAUAUAUAUUAUUUAAAUAUUUAAAUUUAUUUAACUCAUUUAUUACACAUAUUUAAAAUUUUAAACACUUAAAGUUUAUAUUUUCAUAUCAAAUUUCAUCGAAAUAAAUUUAAAACUUAUAAAAUUAUAAAAAUAAAUAAAAAGGUAUACAUAUAUAAUAUUAAAAAUACAAAAUCCAAGCGCCCGGAUUAAAACCUAAUCCGGUGCCAGGCUCGAGUGUCAAAAAUUUGCAUCCAAGCUGGGUAUGGGCAUUGGGAUAACUGGACCUGGACCCGAAUUUUGCCAACCUUAAAUAAUAAUAAUAAUAAAAUACAGAGUUGAAAAUAUAUACCUGUGUAAAACCUUUCACGCCAUGUCUUUCAAUCUUGACUUCAAGAGUGGGAUCAUCAGCAAGCUGCAAAAGCACAUCCACCAUAUCUUUAGCCACAUAAUUUUCGACCCCUUUUCUUCUAGCGUCAUGUUCAUCCAGCACAUGCUCCAAAAACUUGUCAAACCUCUUAGCCAAAGCCUUCAUUUUCUUUAUAUUACCUUGCAAAUCCAAAAACCCUAGCCAAGGAAUCGAAUCGCCGACAUCUAAAACCCCAUUAAGCAUGAACAAUUCAUCAACCAUUGCCGUGAACUCUUGCGGUGUCACAACCUCAUUUUCGAGCUGCUUGUCUGUGUAUUUCUUCCCCAAAACCAUACGGCUUAUAAUAGCAAGACUCAAAUCCGAAAGAUGAUCUUUCAAUAUAGUUGGCUUGCCGAAUGAUUCAUACAAGCGAUUGAGAAAUAAGUUCAAUUCUUGUACUCUUAUGUACUCAAAUGAUUCGAGGCGUUUAACACUAAACAAUUCCAUUGAACAAAUUUUACGAGCCUGACGCCAGUAUGGUCCAUAAGGUGACCAAGUAAUAUCUGAGUAAUUGAAGGUUGUGUACUUGCCGGCUGCUGUUUUGGGGCGGCCAGAAAACAGUGCAUCUUGGGUUUUGAGGAUAACCUUAGCCAUCUCAGCGGAAGAGCCCACGACAACGGGGAAUGACCCGAAUUUAAGCUGCAUAAUGGGCCCAUAUUUUUCGGACAACGCAUGGAGGGAGCGAUGGGGAAGUGAGCCGAUGAGGUGGAGGUUUCCAAUGAUUGGCCAGGGUUUCGGGCCUGGCGGCAAGUUGAGUUUCCGGCGCCUGAGACGGAGGGAGAGGAGGACUAGGGCAAGGGUUGCUAGCCAAGCGACCAAGUAGGAAGCCCAAGAGGGAUGAAUGAGCUCCAUAGUUGUAAAACUAGCUUUAGUGUAUCGGAGUGUUGCCUUCAAGUUGAUUAUGGGUGAAGUUACAACUUACAAGUGUUGUUGGUGGGGACAUUUAUAGUAAGAGAGUGACCAACGCAAGUCUUUGAGAUUUCGAUAUUUUUGUUGACCAGCAUUAUUUUGAUUGGCGUUAUUCAUGCUGUGCUGCUGAUCGGUGACUUGAGAAAUCACCGAGAAAUUAAACGAAAAAUACACGUAUCUAUCCAUGUCCAUUGACGUAAUUAUUUAAAUGGAUACAUUAUAUUUUCCCGUAGAGUUUCACACGAUUUGGUUUCAAAGACUCAAGAACCAACAGACUUGUCUUGAAGUGAAGUUAAGAAAGUGAAAGAAAAUUAGUUAGCAAAGUCGUGAAUUUAUUAUCUUUACCAUGAAAGCUUGUGUAGAUGGACCACUUUGUUUCUUUUUGUUUGUCAUGAAAUGUUUGGAAAUCAGGGGUGCUAAAAAUAUCUGCCUGGUCCGGAUCUGGACCACAACCGGACAAUAUGGGCUGGGUACUAUCUGACUUGGGUAUGAAAUCAGACUAGUUUUAGUCAUUACUUGAUAAAUUCGGGAUUUGGUCCGGAGCCUGAAUUUUAUUUUUAAAAAAUUAUAAAACAUAUAUAAUUUUAAACACUUAAAAUUUAUUAUACAUAUUUAAAGUUUUAAACACUUAAAAUUUAUAUUUUCAUGUCAAAUUUCAUUAAAAUAAAUUUAAAAUUUAUAAAAUUAUAAAAAUAUAAAUUUAAAAAAUAUAAAUAUAUAAAAAUAUAAAAUCCCGACAACCGAAUUAAAACCCGAUCAUGUACCGGACUUAAAAAUCUCGCCCAAAUAUCUAAAAAUUGCAUCCUGGCCUUGAAAAGUAUACCAUAGAGGGAAGGAAGUGUCAGAGUGGGAAUUACUUGACUGUUGACUCGACUUUUCUAAAGAAAAUUAGUGUUGACUCGACUUUUCUUAAGAAAAUUAGUGUUGACUCGACUUUUCUAAAGAAAAUUAGAGCCUCUCGCUUUCUCAAUAAUUCAUCGUGUGCGAGGAGAGUAGCUUUAAGAAUGAAUGAAUUUUUUGAUAUUUGACUUGGGUUAAUGAAGCUAGCGGCUCAAUAAUUCAGUGGUUACUGGUUUGUGUUUCAUCCUUUACUUGGUGUUAGUUACGAAAUAUUUCACCUUAACUAACACAGCAAUAUAAUAUCAUGGAUUACUAAUUGAUAGUCAAUGGUAUAAAUCAUUCAGGUUUUAAUGACUUUAUUGUUGGGGGCCGGGGGGGGGGGGGAGGGUGGACCUGCACUUAUUAUUACAAUUUAAUUGAGGAUACAUUAAUUAAUAAAUAUUUAGGUUAUAUGCACACAAUAAAUCGUUAGAUUCAACACUCGUAACUUUUUUAGUCUUUUUACAUAAUCCUCCACAAUCUCGGUUGGCUCUUUUGGUUGAUUUAGUGAUGAAUAUGCUGUUCAAAUUUGAGCUGUUGAAACUUCUUAUUUUUAAGAAAAAGAUACUUCCUUUAACCAAAACUUAACAAAAAUAUCACAACCACAAUAUUUUUAUUUGGGUGGAAGAAAAUCACCAUAUAUUUAAAUUAUGUUGACAUCAAACUUCCCAAAUAAUAGUCGAACAAAAAAAAAAUUGUUAAAAUUAAAAGAACAAAAAUUACUCCUAAGAAGCUCCAUUCCAUCUUAAUAACAUGAGAAAACAGUUUUUAGUGGGUUACAAGGAUCAAAUUAUCAUUGAUUAAUUAUUGAGUUUAUAGAAAUCAAGCUAGUGCUCUCAUUAGUGUCCUCAACACUAUUGACAGCACUAGCUCACUAUUAAAUAAUAAACUUGAUUGGAACUGGGGAGAACUUAAACUUUAGUGUUGAUACGAACUUAGCUGAACUUUUUGAAGUAAUGUAAUUGAUAGUUAUUAAAUAAAAAAUAAUAUGUAACUAAAUUGUAAACGUAUGUUAUUAUAAAUAUAUAUGUGGCAUAAUAUUAUAAAAGAAAUAAAUACAAUUCAGAUCAGCAUGGAUCCUAAUUUCAAAUGAGAAAUACAUAUCUAUCAUUCGUCCACUUGGAAUUUCAUAAAAGCUUGUUAGAAAGUCGAGGGUUAAUAAUGAUAAGAAUAGGUGCAUCAUAAAUUUGAAUUGAUCAUACUAGUCAUAAAUACUCUCAAGAUAAAGGGCCAUCUAAUAUGCGAAGCUUUUCCGUGAUCAAUUAUUAAAUAUUUUGGUAAAGAGAAUCAAUUUCGGUCCAAAAAUGAACAAUUUUUUCGAGCACAUGAAUCACACAUUAUGAUGCCAACAAAUGAAAUGGCGAUUCACUACCAGACACAAAGUGACAUCACCUUCAUCGAACAUUGAGUGAUUACGAUGAAUGUAUAAUAGGGUGAUAAUUUGGUCAAAUAAAGCAAACACAAUUAAGAAGUAAAAAGUGCCACAACUAGCAUCAGUCGUUUAAUUUGGGCUAUAAACUCAAUAGUUAUUUCUAGCACUUGAUGAGAUGGGAAAGUGAUUCAACGUUUUUGGUACAAUAAUCAGAAGCAUUAUUGAAGAGCAAGUUGUUUGUUUGUGGAAUCAGAAUCGAUAAGAUCUCGUGCGAUCGACUAAUAUUUCAAAUUCUCCUUAUUAUGAAUAUACUUUUUCAUGUGACAUUAUUUUAAAAAGCUGUAUCUUGUUUUGGGUCACAUUUUAAGAAAACUUACCUCUAAAAAUGAAGCUGUUGUUUUGAUCCUUUAAGUGUCUUCUUUACUAAAAGCAAAUCUUAAAGUUGAACUUCCAAGAAGAUUCGCAAUCUCAUUUUUAGUUAUAUUAAAAGCUUUAGUUACAUUGCACUUCCUUCGACCACACCUCAAAUUAAACAUAUCUUCUUAUACUUAUUAAAUCCUUGACCUCUUGCUUUUGUUGUAAAAGAUCAACGAACUAAUCUCUCCUUUAAUUUGGGGAUAUUCAUCUGAUUUAAGUAGACAUAUAUCAUGGGAUCAGUUUAUUGCACAGCAAUCCGUGCUGUACUUAACAAUUUUUAGCACAAAAGUUGUUAAGUAAGUCUUAUUAAACUUCUCAAGCUAAUUAAGUAAGAAUACUUUGUGAGAAAACUAAGGAGAAGAGAGCGAGUAAUAUAGCCAAAGAGUAUUUUAUUACUCGAAGGAGAAAAUACAAGAGAGCUUUUUACAAAAUUGCUUGAGUUGCUUGGAGUGUGAUGUGUUGUGUGUGUGUGGUGUGGUGUUGAGCAAAAUAGAGAGUGGCACCCCUAUUUAUAGAGGUGCUUGCCUAAGUCUAGAUCCAUCUAUAUAAGUGGUGCAAGUUGCCUAAAUAUCUCCUAAGUUUUAGAGAGGUCUAGGUAUAUAUAAGUGUGGAAAUAUCUAGACAAUACAAGUAGUAGAGAGUUGUAGAGAUUUCUAGAAAUCAGGUCUGGCUUGCAAAUGUGGGUUGUUCACUGGCUAAGCGCACCACGGCUUGCUAGUUGUAUGAUGCGGCCCAUUGUUGAGCGUACCCUGCUAUUGAGCGCCUCCUCCUAUUGAGCGGACUUUUACUGAACAAACCCAUGCGCGAAUUUAACCUUCGUUUGUGACAAAUUUAGGCAGCCCAUGACACAUAACUAGGUAUGUUGUUGAUGCUUAUGUAGGAGCAGGAAGAGACUAGAGACGCAAUUUGAGGGGCAAAAUUUCUUUACAAUAGGGCUGUUUUAGUAAUUCUCUUAAAAAUGAAUUUUUAAUUCAAAUAUAAAUGUAAUAUGAUCUAUUAGAGCUGAAAAAAUGGGUCAUUGGAUCGUAUUUGUGUUGUGCUGGCUUCGUGUUGUGUCGGCUUCAUGUUGUGUCAAAUUUAAGUCGACCCAAACAUGACCCAUUUCUCAUCAAAGGGAGGGCGAUUGGGCACAUAACCACCAUAUGGGCACUGUCCGAAAUUGAGUGCAGCGUGCUGUGCAGAUGCGAGCCAGAUGAUUGUAUUUAGGAUAAAGACUAGAUCAUCACCGUUGGUUAAUGUGGGCCACCAGCUUUCUUGACGAAGAUCGGCAUGGCCUACGUUGAUGGACUCAUUGUGCCAUGAUUUUAGCUCUUUGUCGUCACAAAUUUUGGCUUGAAUUUGGGUAGUAAUGGUUCACAUAAGUGCGCACCCAAUCCUCAAUUGCUGACCAAAUUAGAAGCCCGUCUGCUGCGUAUGGGUAGUCCUCAAUCAGCAACUUCAAACCAUCUGGCUGUGUUGGGUCAGGUACUGCAAUGCCUCUGCAAAAUGAAAAGAGAAACCUCGUUCAGAUGAACUGAUCGACAUAUUAAUACACCAAUAUAAGCAAUGAACAUGUCAGAGAAAUAGUAUAGACGCAUGCCCAUUUUCUUUUACCUAUAAAGUUUUUCAAAUUCAUUAUAAAUAUGUUCCAACUUGCAUGGCAUAAACUAGGUAAUCUUUACUAGUUUUUACCUGCGGAUGAGAUCAGCGGGGAGGCCUUCCUUGUCAAACCGCCAACUUUUAAACAUGGAGGCGCUGAUUUCCAUGCCGUAGUUAGCGGCCAGGAGUGAAGCAAGACUCAAUCACACCAUCGGCAUUGAUUAAAUUUUUCCUAGCUAGAGCAUUAAUCUCCAACGUGUAUCUCAUAUGCGGAUCCAAAAGCUUGUAUAUUGGGUGCAUUGCACUCAAUUGUCUAUGUGCUGUAAGAAUAAAUGGCUCCAUGCAUGCAUGCGUACGUACCUAUACAAUCAACACAUCAUUUCAAUAAUUUAGCCAGCAUAAAAAUGGAAAAUAAAAUGCCAUAAUUUUGAUGAAAGCUGCGAGCAAUCAAAUUGAUUUAAUAUGCUUACCACUGUUUAUCGAGUCGGUGCACCCUGGGAUCGUUGGAGCAGACAUGGGCCCUGGCAAGCUGCCAAAGCCAAUUGGAAGUGGCGUCGACGGGUGGCUUGAGCACGCGCUUUGAUCGGGUCCAGACGGUGGGAGGCUGAGCUCAAUGGCGAUGGGCUUAAGAGGGGCCAAGAGAAUUCAAGAAAAAUAUUGUGCGAGUUGCGUAAGCUUUUCUACCAUCAAGUGCAUUUAUUUUGUCUAGAAAUGGAAGGUAAAUGUGAUGGCAAUCCAAUACGUACAAUUUGUUCUCCUUCAAGGCCUGAAAAAGAAAAUAAUAAAAUUGGCCCUUAGUAGAAUUUAGUGUGACAUGCCAAUCGAGUAUCGGAGAUCAAAUUAAGAGAGGAUAUAAAUUCAAAUAGAAGACUUUUUAUUAGUUACCUGUUGCACGGACAUGCCAUCGAGUUGGCCAAUGAUGUGUUCUUCUUUCAAUGCGGAUUCUUGUGGACCGUAGAUCGCAGGAUCAAGAUUGCUUACAGGUGGGAAAGCCUGAAGCCCGUCAAUCGUGACCGGGUUAACUCCAGCUAAAGCUUGACAGGCAAAUUCGUCAUCUUGCAACCAAGCAAAUUUAUCCCCUGCAAAUGUGGAUCACAUGCGUUGGUUUUGUGAAAGUGAUCUUGGCUUUUUAUUUAAGGAAAAUGAUAAACAAACUAAAAGAAGACUAAAGGACGACAGAAACGCAGCGUGGGUUUACCGUUUCACGUGUUUCCUUAGUCUUCUUUUAGUUUUGCGUGGGCCCACAAUAAAUAAUAAAAUAAAGAAUUUAGAAAUAGAAAGCAGGUCAAAUUUCAGUUUUUUAUCUUUUCCUUAUACGUUAUCUCCUCCCUCACCAGCCACUCAUUUUCCUUAGUUUACUCUCCCUCCACUCAUUUUCCUCGUUUGGAAACGGUAGCACUUCGUUAAUCCCCGCUUCUUGUUAUCGCCCAGCCGCUUCUUUUUUUUUUUUCUUUUGAUUUACAACUUCAUCCCCAUCAUUUGCAGCCAUUUGCUUCGUUACCGGACGACGACCGCUUCUUGUUCUCACCCAACCCCUUCUUAUUUUUUUCUUUUGAUUUGUAACUUUAUUUGAAUGUAAUGAGAGUCACCAACUUACCAAUUAAUCAGUACCAAUUUUAUCAAGUUGCCUCUGUUUGCAGAUCCAGAUCUAACUUCUUCUUUAUGGCCACUUUUUCUUUUUUUUUGGUUGCUGAAAUCGAGCAGUUGGAAAUGCAGAAAUUGCCUGUGUGAUAAGCGAGAUGCAGAGAGAUAGAGAGGACAGGGAACUGAUUUUUCAUUGUUAAAUGUAGAUGGCUCACGUUAAAUGAGAGGUGAGAGAUGGAGAGAGAGAGGACAAGAAGAAAAAUUGAUUGUAAAAAAGUGAUGCUAUUGUUAAAUGCUAUAUUCACUCACGUACCAUGUUUAAUUUAAUUUUUUAAACUGAUUGUGGCCCCUGGUUUUACUUCAGUUUUCUUCUGUUAAUACAAAUGCAGAUCGAGUUGAGUUUGUCUGGUUUGGCUUCUUCGUCGGGUUUGAGUGAUAAUGGCAAUUUUAGCUUUUUGUCAACUUUCUUAUUUUGUCUUCUCAUUUUCGUUACUUUUAGUUUCCUUUUCAUUAUUUUAAUAUUUUCUUUUGAUUAUUUUAUUUUUUAAAUGAGAAAAAAAAACUGAUAAAGGAUAAUGAAGCAACAGACAAAGGGACCCACGGAAAUGACAGUGGGCGCUGCCGUUUCUAUCGUCCCUUUGUCGUCCGUUAGUUCAAAUAGCCGGACUCUUUAUUUAAAUAAUAAUUUUCAUUCCAUUACUGGAAAAGAAAGGAAGUAAACAAAUUAAAACCAUCGUGCAAUUAUACCCACGUGUUAAAUAUGUGCAAGCUCAGAAAGCACUUUGCAUGCAAGGAAAGUGAUAGGUGACACUGGAAUCUAGAGGUGGGUCAUUUUGCUCCUUUCUCUUAGGCAAAUUAUAAGCUUAAGAAAUUAAUAAUGAUUUCCUCUUGUUUUACAAAAGCAACUACUAGCACAUGAAGUUAUUUUUUUUAUAUAUAUUCAUAGAUUUGACAUUCUCAUUUGUCCCCCACUAGUAAUAUGGAGCAUCAUCAUGAUCCCACUAAAAAUCACGAUAUUUAUUAUGACAAAGAAAAUUGCCUUCGCAUAGAUUAGUAAAAUUAUAACACCAAAAAAAAAAAAAUGUAAGGUCUUCCAUAUGCCUAUUCUAAGGUAAAGUUUAGAAGAUGCAUAAAAAAAAAAAAACUCCAUUGAUUUUAUGUUAUUUUAUUAGAGUGUAAUUAACUUCAAUUUCUAAAAAAAAAUUGAAAUUUAAAAAUUUUUCUUUCUUAACGUAUGUUCUUAGCGUACACGAAUGAAUGAAAUUUUAUUUUUAAUGAAUAAAUAUUUGAUUAAAAAAAAGGGGGAGACUGAGUACUUACUGGAAAGAAUGUUGAGAGUGUUAUAUUUGAGGAGACCUUGGCUAGAUUCUUGAAUUUUGCUACAUUCGGCAAUGGGUGCUUUUUCAGAAACCCAUCUUGUCUAAUAUCCGAAAAGCCACUAAAAUCACGAUUAUGAGCAGAAAUGCUGGCUUUUAAUAAAGGGAUUAAGUUGCGAAGCGCGGCUUUAAGCCUUCCAGCUGAAAAUGCAUCAUGCUUGGACUCCUCAAAUUGUUCAUCUCUUGGCACGUACAUUGGCAGUGGCUUCUCUAUACGGCUCUCUGCAUGCAUAUCUGCCGAAUAUACAUCCAAUGGACGCGGGUCAGAUAUACAAAUACACACACACUCAUCAUGAUUCUGAUCUUACAUUCUUUCGGUUUAAGAAAGAUUUUCUUUCUAUGAAUUUCCUUUUACCUGUAUCAGUUGGAAGGCGACCGGUACGACACCGUCUUGGGUAUGGUCUUUGUUCACCACCAAGAGUUGGUCUAACAAAUUCACUUCCUCUAUCAGGGUUUCCCAGAUCAUUGAAUACAAAAUGCACUGGUGAAUAUUGGAUCCCUGUCACAUACUACCACAAGGUGCUGUAUUCGCUAUUUCCCAGCUACUACCACGCUGGCUUGAGGUGAUUAAAGAAGAGGUUGUUGUUAAACCAACAUUACAGGACUUGAAAAAAAAAAUCCAGCAAGGGGAAGCAUUGGGACCGUGGAAGCUGAAUAAUGGCACUAUAUUCUUUAAAGAUCGUAUUUAUCUAUUGGAGGAUUCAAAAUUUGUGACAUCCGUCAUCAAAGAAUUUCAUAGAAGCACUUACGAAGGCUAUGUGAAGACUUUAAAAAGCAUCAAGGCAAAUUUUUAUUGGAAGAACAUGCGGAAGCAGAUUAAGGCGUUUAUAUGCAGUUGCGACAUUUGCCAACCCACAAAAUAGAGCAAUUGGCUCCUGGUGGGUUGUUAUAUCCCUUGCCAGUUCCACAACAGGUCUGGGAAGACAUACCCAUGGACUUCGUCGAAGGGUUGCCGGCCAACAAUAAAACAACAAUCUUUGUAGUUGUUGACAUGUUAUCUAAAUAUGCUCACUUUAUUCCUCUACCUCAUCCUUAUACAGCUGUGGGAGUAGCCAAAUUGUUCUUUGAAAAUUUUCUUUAAGCUUCAUGGUCUUCCAAAGUCAAUUGUAUGUGACAGGGAUCCAAUAUUCACCAGUGCAUUUUGGAGGGAGUUAUUUCGGUUAAAUGGGACUUCUUUCAAUUUUAGUUCCAGCUAUCAUCCUCAGACAGAUGGGCAAAGUGAAGUUGUGAACAGAACUCUAGAAAUGUACUUAAGGUGCUUCAAAAGUUCAAAGCCAAAAGAUUGGAUGCGCUGGCUUCCGCGGGCUGAAUAUUGCUACAACACAAGUUGGCAUUCAACUAUAAAACGAACUCCUUUUGAAGUUGUUUAUGGCAGGAGCCCUCCUAGAUUGUUAAGUUACAUUCCUGGUACAGCUCGGGUGGAGGCGGUGGAAAAAGAACUGUUAUAGAGAGAGAGAGAGAGUUCCUAAGACAGUACAAGAAUGUAUACAACGUGCUCAGGAUAGAAUGAAAAAAGUCUAUAAUUCUAAACACAGGGACAAAGAAUUUAAUGUGGGGGAUUAUGUGUACUUAAAGUUGCAGCCUUACAGAUAGAUAUCUCUUAUUGGAAGGAAAAAUCUCAAGCUUUCAGCUCGAUUUUAUGGCCCAUAUCAGAUUUUGGAAAGGAUUGGAAAGGUAGCAUGUCGGCUUAAGCUUCCACCUUCAUCCAAGUUACAUCCAGUAUUUCAUGUUUCUAUGCUCAAAGCAAGGAUUGGUCAAGAGUGUGAGGCACUUGAAGAUCUUCCUGAGUUGAACCAAAAAGAAGAGUUAGUCCCAACUCCACAAGCGUUACUGGACCAACGAAUUCGAAAGGGAAGAAAAGAAGUUCUAGUUCAUUGGAAAUGGUUGUCGCCAGCAGAGGCUACAUGGGAAAUCCACGAGUUGAUUCAAGAACGUUAUCCAAACUUCAUCCUUGAGGACAAGGACAUUCUUUAAGGGGGUGGUAGAUAUUACAAUCUAGUUUAAUCCUAUUUGAUUUAGUCAAGAAUAAAUCAGUUUAUUUGAAUUAGAAUAAGUCAAGUCAAAGAUGGUUAGUAAAGUGGGCACACUGUUAGCUGCUUUGCUAAUUUUUGUUCCUAGUUGUGCUCAUGACAGUUGUAAUGCAUUUGUAUAUAAACAACAUUUGGCAUGAAUAAAAUGUAUCGUACAAGCUUAUUCACUCUUAAUUGAGUCAUGGGAGGUGCUAAACCCUCGAAAAAUUAGCGAAUUAUGCUUGUAUUCUUUUUUUCCCUUAAACAAACAAUUGUGAGUCACAGAGUCAUGUGGUAUUUACAUCCAAAUGAUACUAUUAUUAUAGAAGAUUGUCAAUUUCUUCCCCAUUAAAAUCAAUAUAUACCAUUUAUUCUUUAUUAUCUUUAUAAUAUUUAAAACCCUUUUUGACACCAAAAAAUUUUUUUAAAAAAAUAGGAGUAAAUGAGUCAUUUAUUUGAUAAUUUGUCUUGGAAAUAAAUAUAUAUUAAGAAAAAUAUCUUAUUAUUAAUUUUUUUAUUCACAUAGAUACAUAUAUUUCUUAUUUUUAGUACUUAAAUUUAUUAUUUUAAUUUCUAUUUAUAUGAUUUAUUUAAUUUAUAAUAAAUAUGAAUAAAAUAUAUUUGAAAAUAAAUGUAAUGUUGUAAACUUAUGCUAUUAAGAAGGUUAUUUGUUAUUAUGAAAAUAAUAAAGAUAUAAGAAGUAUAUUUUUAUUUCAAUAGGAAGGAAACUAAAAAGCAACAAUCUUCCCUUAUCUAUACAAAAAUAUUGUGAUUUUAGCAUUACAUUAAAUAAAGCCAUCUUGAAAAUUAUUAUGUGAUAGUCAUAAACAUAGUAAAUAAAUUAAAUAACAAAAAUAAAAUGAGUAAUGAUACAGCCACAAACUUUUGUACAAACUAAUUUAGCAUUAACACAUUGGUUGAAUAAAAAUACAAAAUAAUAAAAACAAAUCACGUGGACCAAGAGAUAUCUAAUUCAACUAAUUAAAUCAUGCCACAUCAAUUUAUACAAAAAAAAAAAUUGAACAAGAAUUUGUAGCUAUAUUAUUUUUACAACUUCAAAAAACAUGAAACGAAUAGUUUUUAAAAUCUAAUUUUGAGAAAAAUUUUAUCCUUAACAAAAUUUCACAUAAAUCAUCACAUGAAUUACAUAAAUCUAAAAUUAUCAUUAUUCAAUUUAGAAAUAAAAUCAAUAAAAAUAUAAGGUAAUUAUAAUUAUAAUUUACAUUUGUAAGUUUUAUUUUUUUCAAUAACUAUUAUAUUAAUUUACUUCUAUUACAAGUCUUAGUUUUCAUUUAUGUAAUUUAUAUUUUAUUUUACACUUAAUAUUAAUUUACAAGUUUUAUAUUAUACCUAUAAAUUUUUGUGUCGUUCACCAAUAAUGCACCGAUUUACCACUCUUAUAUUAAUCUACUUGUCUUAUCUUCCAUUUACAAGUCUUAUAUUUCAUUUAUUUAAUUUAUGUUUUGUUUUAUACUUAUUGUUGAUUAAUAAGUUUUAUAUUAUAUCUAUAAGGUUUUAUUUUUUUUACUAAAAAUACAACAAUUUACCACUAUUAUGUUGAUUUUACAUGUUUUACCAUUUAUUUACAAAUCUUAUGUUUCGUUUAANNNNNNNNNNNNNNNNNNNNNNNNNNNNNNNNNNNNNNNNNNNNNNNNNNNNNNNNNNNNNNNNNNNNNNNNNNNNNNNNNNNNNNNNNNNNNNNNNNNNUAAAAAAUUAAAUAUUUAAUUCAAUAAAUUUUCUCUAUUAAUUUAAUUUAAAUCAAUGAAUAUCAAUAAAUGUAAAAUUAAGGGUAUUUUUUAGGGGCUGCUGAUCAUAUGUGUGAGUAUUAUUAUUUAAUAUUUUUACUUAUUUAUUUUUUAUUGCAUCGUAAGUUUACUAAUGUUUACAAUUCAAACUGUAUCAAAUCAAAAAAUUGUCCUCAAUUUUAAUUACACGUGAUCAAAUCUACGAUGACGCAGUUCAGAUAAUAAAGUCUUUGAGUAGGCCUAACUCUUCUUCUAAAUGUCUUUCCCCUAGUACCUCACAAAGGUGAGAAGUGAGGUUGCUUAUCACCAUCAAACUAUCAAUAUAUUAUUAUUCAAUCACUCAAUAAAAGAAAAAAAAUAUUAUAAAAACCACCCACUUCUCAACUAUUAAGGUGAGGGGAUGUUUGGUUAAUUUUUAAAAUAAGAGUGGGAAAUAGUUAAUUUUACCAAAAAGAGAAUGGGAUCUUGCUUGGUUUCUUCUUGACAUAAUGCACUACAAAUAACUUGCAGCUAGCUAUGAUAAGUUUCGUUAAGAAUACAAAUUAAACCAUAAUUAUGAACAAAAAAAAAAUGGGUAUGAAAAUACAAAAACAUCUGGGUAACAAUAAAUAAUUUAUAAUAAAAUAAAAGAUAUAUUUUUUUUUAAAACCUUUUACCAAAAUUUUAUAACUCAAUUUUUUUGUUAACAAAAAGAUCAUGAAAAUGCUCUCUAGCCGCUUUCUCUUUGAGUCAAAUUGGUGAGAAAUACUGUAACAGCACGCUGGGCUUAAAUAAUUAAUCUAGCGGAUGGAGGUUGCCAAAUUUAGGAUUUUAUUUUAUUUAAUAACUAAAGUCAUCCUCAUUUGUUAUACUUUAAACAAAAUUUCUCUUUCAGUAUUUUUUUUUCCUAUAAUUGCAGAUGGACCGGUUGACCUCAAUUUUUAAACCAUGUCGUGGCAUUGGCCGGAAAAUUUAUAUGCUCAAAAAAGGUAAAUGUUUGUUUACUUUUUAUAUUUUAAGUCAAGUAUUUUUUUAGUUAUUAUAUUUUAAAAAAAUAUUUCAAGACACUUCUAUUAUUAAAUAUGUGAUAUUUUUAUCUUUUUUUUUUGUUUUUUACGAUAAUACUCUUGCAACAAUAUUUUUGGUGGCAUUAAUGAAAUAGAAAAAAAAAGUUAACUUAUUAAAUUAACACUGAAAUUUAAAUAAAAAUUACAAUAACACCUUUGCAACAAUACUUAUUUAUUUAUUUCUAAUUACAUUGCAAGUCUAAUAAUAAUAUUUUAUCUUAGAUUCUUUAACCAUAAAGUUAAUGAAAAAGUGGUGGGUUAAUAUAAAGUUAAAACUUGAGAUAGUUCUAAUAUAUCAUCAACGACUCGUGAUAUCUAUGUGCACUUUCAAUAUUCCUCAGGCGAUUAGGAGAUAACUUUCCGAGAUUCACUGAUAUAUUUCAGUUAUUGCAAUGCAAAUGGGGUACUUCAAAGGAAAUUUAUUACUUAUGAGGUAAUACACGAUAUGUUUUGGCUUUUGGAUGAGCGUGGAAACCAAAUUUAUCAGCACCUGUAACUUCUCUUCUGCAUUAAUGGAAAUUUUAUUAGAGAAAAAAAUAACCAAUUUAUCUCUCGGUUCUUAAAUUCUAUUUACUAUUUUAUUAUAGGGUAUAUAACUGUAAAACACGUAAUAGAAUGAAAUGAUUCUAACAUAUUGGAGUCAAUAAUUGCGGUAACGAGCAUGCCUCCUUUUAUAAAAUGAACUAGAUUUUCCAGGUAUUUUGGUGACAUUUUUCAAACUUUAUACAGCUAACUGUGAUCUGAUGCCAACAUGAAAUUGAAAUAUGAACUAAAGUUCAUUUUAUAAAUUGACUUUUAUCAGAUUGUCAAGGUUAGAAUAAAUUAUCUUGAAUUUGCUCUAAUGCUCUCACACUUAUAUAACUAAUUAAUACAGCAAACUAUUGGCUUGGGGCUUCCAGUCGUGACAAGCAUAAAGAAAUUUAUAUUUUAGUAUUUUUAUAUUGCACUACCUACUCUAAUCAUUGUUAGACAUGGGCACUCUUAUUCUUUUCAAAUGCGGAUUUUGAAUUCUACUAGUUUAUAACAUUGUAAAAUCUUGAAUCCGCAUUUUAAGAAAUCCAAACAUCUGCAUAAGAGAAUUACUUCUAUCUAAUGUAUUCAAAGAAAUUAUCAAUUAAAUUUCAUAUUUGAAAAUCUAGACAUUUUUUUUUUGUGUGAAGAGCAUGAAUGUUGUUAGAAUAAUAAUAAUAAUAAUUUGUUAUGUAAUUUAUUAUUGUUCUAAUGAUCGUGGUCGUUUUUUCCUUUUUAAUUGUGCGCAUCCAAAGUAAAUUGACCGUAGUUUCUUAUUAUUAUUAUUAUUAUUACAAAAUUUGGCUUUAGUUACUCUUAAACUCAGUUAAAAAUAUUUUUUUUAUAAUAUGUUUACUUGCCUAUUGAUAAAAGUGACAUGUGUUUUACACACAAAAAAAAAGCCUUGAAUUUUAAAAGAGUAAUGUUAUGCUUACUCACUUUGGAUACUCAGUUGUGAUAUUUAAUGACGUGGCAUCUUAUGUGGCAUCUGUUAAGUGGGUUGUAAAAAUAAUAGGUUAGUAAUUAAUAAUAAAAUCAAUUCAUAUCAUAUCCAUGUUAUUAAAUGAUUCGUGACAUAUUAGUUGAAUAUCCUGACUAAAUAUUUAAACUUAGUAAGUAUAGCAUUAUUAAUUAUAGAAGUAAUUGUAUGAUUUGUGAUGUGUAUGUGCAUCACACUAAUCAAUUCACAAGGUGUACUACGGUUCCAUCCACAAGAAAAAAACUCUCACACUCACAGAAACAAUUGGAAUUAAUGCUUAAUUUAAGCUAAUAAUCGCAUCAGAUUGAAAAGAGAAAAGUAAACCGACAAAAAAAAAAUUAACAAACUACAAAUAUUUUGUAUUGUAACGAAGUGCGGUUGUACGAGGAUUUUUUAUUGAUACAUCAACACCCUAACAAUAAGAUUAAAUAUCAAAAGAUGAGACGUUAUUUGGGCCCAAACAGCAGCGCACGUUAGUUUGGGUUUAAAAUCUCAUUACAUCUGCAAAUCCAUGGCCUUUUCGCACUAACAAACCACUUACUCAAACGUACGCUACGCCAUAAUUAAUUAUUUUGGAAGCCACAGUCACAGAUUGUAAAGAUGGGGCGAAAGCCUUGGGUGAGCCAGAACCUCAAGUGGAAACUUUCUCGGGGUAGAAAGCCCAAAAAUUUCCUCCAUAUUCAGCUCCUCAUUGCUCAUAUUUCCGGGCAAUUUCCAUGCAAAUCCAUGCAAAAGAUUAGCUAAGCUUGCUUGAAUCACCUUAAGCCCGAGACUGUACCCUGGACACAUUCUUCUCCCAGCCCCAAAUGGCAGCAGCUCAAAAUCAUGGCCUUUAACAUCAAUUGAUUUUCCAAUAAAUCUCUCAGGAUAAAAUUCAUUUGGCUUUUCCCACAAACUUGGGUCUCUCCCAAUCGCCCAUACACUAACAAGGACUCGAGUGCCUUUUGGGAUGUCGUAGCCGGCUACCUUGCAAUCUUCUCUA